GCCUGAUCUGAAAUCUCUUCUUCAGCACAUCCAUAUAUAAGGCCACAUGCAUAACAUCUCUCACACAUGUUGGGGAUAUGAUUGAAACCCAUUGAUUUGUCUCAUCCUUCACCAUUGGGAUUGAUUAAAAUUCAACAAUCAAUCCUAAAUCGUGUUAUAUGAAGAUGACAAUGAAGUGUUGGAACAAAAUGAUCACACCAAUGAGGAAAGCUUGGACCAAAUUUUCGAGAAAGAUCGGUCGUUGUGGAUCUUCAGGGCACAUAAAAUUGCAACGCGACGUGAAGUCAUGUGAGUACGAGGAUGUCCACGUGCUGUGGGAGAUGCUGAAUAAGAGCAACACGAAUGUAAGACAAACACGAAGAAAUAGUUCAUUGUGGAAGUUUGUAGAUCGUUGCCGCUCUUGCUAAACAUUCAUCUACUUGUGUGUAUUUUUGUUCUCUUGUAGCAAUCAUUUUUGUGUCAACUUGAGUGAUUAAGAAUGCAAAUAGAAUGUACAUUGUGUUUAUAUGUGAAUGUGAAU